GAUGAACGCUGGCGGCGUGCCUAAUACAUGCAAGUCGAACGCUGGAGAUCUAGCUUGCUAGGUCGAAGGAGUGGCGAACGGGUGAGUAAUACAUAAGCAACCUACCCACGAAGACUGGGAUAAUCUCUGGAAACGGGGACUAAUACCGGAUAGGUAAUCGGAAGGCAUCUUCUGGUUAUUAAAGGUUAAAAACACUGGUGGAUGGGCGUAUGGCGCAUUAGUUGGUUGGUGAGGUAACGGCCCACCAAGACGAUGAUGCGUAGCCGGCCGGAGAGGGUGAACGGCCACGUUGGGACUGAGACACGGCCCAGACUCCUACGGGAGGCAGCAGUAGGGAAUUGUCGGCAAUGGGGGCAACCCUGACCGAGCAACGCCGCGUGAGUGAAGACGGCCUUCGGGUUGUAAAGCUGUGUUGUAAGGGAAGAACGGUAGAUAGAGAAUAUCUAAGUGACGGUACCGUACCAGAAAGCCACGGCUAACUACGUG
rnacentral:rRNA from 1 species